rnacentral:rRNA from 1 species
CAGCCGCCACGGGAAUACGAAGGGGGCUAGCGUUGUUCGGAAUUACUGGGCGUAAAGCGCACGUAGGCGGAUAUUUAAGUCAGGGGUGAAAUCCCGCAGCUCAACUGCGGAACUGCCUUUGAUACUGGGUAUCUUGAGUAUGGAAGAGGUUAGUGGAAUUGCGAGUGUAGAGGUGAAAUUCGUAGAUAUUCGGAAGAACACCAGUGGCGAAGGCGGCUCACUGGACCGUUGUUGACGCUGAGGUGCGAAAGCGUGGGGAGCAAACAGGAUUAGAUACCCCCGUAGUCCAUGUCUCUUAUAC